rnacentral:rRNA from 1 species
GCGCAGCAGGCGAGAAUUUUUCUCAAUGGGGGAAACCCUGAAGGAGCGACGCCGCGUGGAGGAUGAAGGUCUUCGGGUUGUAAACUCCUGUCAUUUGGGAACAAGUUGCACACGUUAACUGCGUGGGCAUUGAUAGUACCAGAAGAGGAAGAGACGGCUAACUCUGUGCCAGCAGCCGCGGUAAUACAGAGGUCUCAAGCGUUGUUCGGAUUCAUUGGGCGUAAAGGGUGCGUAGGUGGCGCCGUAAGUCAGGUGUGAAAUUUCGGAGCUUAACUCCGAAACUGCAUUUGAUACUGCGGUGCUUGAGGACUGGAGAGGAGACUGGAAUUUACGGUGUAGCAGUGAAAUGCGUAGAGAUCGUAAGGAAGACCAGUGGCGAAGGCGGGUCUCUGGACAGUUCCUGACACUGAGGCACGAAGGCCAGGGGAGCAAACGGGAUUA